rnacentral:lncRNA from 1 species
CGCCUAUGUCAUUUUAAGGUAACACUUAAAAUUGUAUAGCCGGUCCCAAGCCCGGAAAAAGGAGGAGGGAGCAACCCUGUUUGAAUAGAGGGGAAAGUGACGUGUUGAGUUGGUCAUUUAUGUUAGAAAUGCAGGAACAUUCUAUUCACAGAGAAGGAAAAGUCCGAAAUUCAAGCCAAAGAGGAUUUUCGCUUGGCUUGGAGCAUUCGUGUACAAGGUACGCUCAGUGGCCCUGAAGCUCAAAUGUCGACUUGUUUUGUGUCCUUGCUCAUUUCCAUCAUUUUUGCCUGACUAGCCAUCGUGAUGCAUGAUUGUACUUGAUUUAUAUUUGCUGAUGCGUGGCAAGUUUAUAACUCUAGCUGGUCACAAAGUAUUUAUCCAUAUAUGGAUGUUGUGUUUGCUAAGAGACUUUUGGUCUGUUGAUUUCUCCAGGUGGCGGUGAAGUGACUAUUUACAGGAGCUAGGAACAGAAAUAAUGGCGGUAGCUUGUUGUUUGGCAGUGCUGCCCAUGUGACCCCAAAGCAUUUCCAAAGAAGACACAGGAGAAACUGUAGGUCCUCUCUGAUUCUCUUUGUGCGUUUGGUAUCUUUCAUCUAUCUCGAAAACCUUUGACACCUGCAUCCUUUGUUUUCAUUCAGCUUCAGCACCAACACCUACAGGCAGCUCUUGCUGCUGCAGUAUUGCCACAGCAUCCAACUUGUUUCCACAAUUCUUGAGAUCCCAAUGAGCGAAUUAAAGCUUCAGCGCCAACACCAACAGGCAGCAGGUGUCGUCCAGUAUCGGCGCCACGACCAACUUGUUUGUGCUUGCUUUGAGACCACAAUGAAUAAAUUAAAGUUUUGGAUGUAGCAUAUCCUGUAAUGUGUUUGUUAUUGUAAAAUUGCAGGUGUUUCACAUGUUCAUCUACUUGUUCUACUAUGUACAAUCUCCCAUCAUAUAACAUCAUUUUGUCCGUCUAUUUACGAGAGUCGGCUUUGAAACUCAAGCUGUAAUUUCACUUGCUCCUCGCAAGCAGGUUUUAUACUAAUGAGUUUAUUAGCCACUCAUUCUUUUACUGCUGAUUGUUCAUCCAUUCACCAGGGCCUACACAAAUGCUUGUUCAUCCAUUCACCACUACAAUUCAGGAACUGCAUAAAGUAGUUGCUGGUAUCCCUCUGGGGAAUUAUGGAUUUUGCCAUAAAAUAUGUCUCGUCUGAAAGAGUGGU